UUGCAGUUUUAUAACUCAAAUAUCAGCUUUUGUUCGCUGGCCAAGCCCAAUGAAAACAUAAUAUUUAAAUACAAGCCCCAUUUACCUUUCAAGGAUUUUUCCUGUCCAAAAAAUUCCUGGUAAUUUGUGUCGAAUCCAGGCCCUGAACUCAUUAUUCAUCCCUUCCCCGUGCCUGUUCCUGUUCAUAGGCGCUAAUUCCACCGCUGUGACAUCAUCACCGUUGCUGUGGCGAUGGGCGGUGAUGUCACAAACACAAGACAAUAGCCCCUGGGUAGGAAUGAACCAGUGGGAAAAAUGAGUCAGGAAUGAAGGGAAAGGGACUGGAAAAAAAUACCCCAGGAUCCAAACUCCCCACCAAUGUUUUCACCUCGAUUUUCCUGGGAUUAGGGGCAGACGGGGAGCACUGUGUUGGAUUCCUGAGGGAUUGUGUUGUGUUAGGUCUUCGUCUGUGGAUUUUAGUUUGAAGGGCUCCCAGUCCCUAUUUUCAAGUGAGAUCUUUACCAUCUUAAACCAAUCCCAAAGAAUUGUGAAGCAAAAAUAGUUCCCAGUCUCCAGGGCUUUUUCUUGCUGUGCAUUCCUGAAAACCUGGCUGUGAAACCAUCCUCUGGAUUCUCCCUCCCUCUCCUGUUUCCCACAGAAGAAUCAUCUUCACCUCACCGAGGACUUUGCAAUGUCUGGAAAUAAACAGAGGAGCCCUGGGAAGUCCGGGAA